rnacentral:lncRNA from 1 species
GGCGUGGAAAGGGCUAUAUCGCCGUGUGUUUCUUCCCUCGGUCACGGGGGAGGGAAUUCACCGCCCUGGAGAGUUUGGUGCCUGAGGCGGCUGCUUCCUUUCGCUUCUCGGGCGGGCCCUCUGGCUACAACCCGGUUGACAGUUCGUUAGGUGGAACAUGCAGGAAGGAAAGCGAAGACUGUUGACCCCAGCGCCACUUCAAACUUUGCGGGAUAGGACGUGUGUGUGUGCGUGUUGCGGGGCGGGGGUGGUGGUGGAAGGAAGUUUUCGUCAGCAAUUGUGAGCCUUCGCUAAUACAUUAAAUUGCGAGGAAAACGCGCCAAAACCUCUCGACAGUGUCUUGCGGGUGCGGAGGCCUCGACACGUCCUCUGCCUCGCUCCGUCUUAUUCCCUACCUUUGCGCAAUACCUAAGCCUUUUUUUCCCCGUCUUGCCUGAGGGAGAGACACUACCUGCGUUUUCGAAGACCGCGGAAACUUCGUAAGGCAGGAAGGAGGGACGGGUCACUUUUCGGCGGCCCUCCGCCCUCUUCUUCUUUCCUUCCCUUUCCUCGUCCUACCGCCAAGCAGCUGCGGGCCUCCAGGGGAUCAGCCUUUCCUGCGCUGGCCGGGCAGGCGGCGGCGGCGGCUGCGCGCCCGCUGCUUCUGCUCCCAGUUAGAGGUGGCUCCUCCAUUUCCAUAUCAUCACUGGUGUUGCAACCUCACAGUCCUCUGCUGUUCUAUAGUGAAGGAGAAAAUGUAGAAGAAAGGAAGUGAAGGGGAGUGAAAACACACUUGAGAAUGUUUGCCUUCAGUAGCAAAUAUAUGCCAUUAUGAAUAAUUAUUUCUGGAAUUCUUUAAUUAGUGGGCCUGGAGUUACCAUCUUUGUUCUUUGCUUAUAUCUAAUACAAGUACAGACUGGUUCUGACAGUCUUUGGGAGGGAGUGCUGGAGGAUUUGAACCAAAUCGAAAAGACAGAGAUGGAUGUCUUUUUAUACACUGCAGAUGCAAAAUUUCCGGCUAAUUGUAGUGUACGUGUAAAGAAAUGUUUUGUUGAGGAGAUGAAAGUAAUUGUAUAUGAGUCUCAGCUUGAAAACAAUAACAAGGUUCGUGGCACCAUGAGUAGAAUUAUCAGAAUUGUCAUGGAGGAUUUAGAAGGCAGGCAGAACACAGAAAUAUCCCAGUGCCAAAAAUGUGAAACAUUUGAAGAAAAAAAUUAUGGAGAAUUUAUGGAAAGCUUCAGGAAGAAUGUACAAAGAUGGCAUAGAGAAGAUACUGAAGCAAAGAGGGGUUUUAAAGAAACUUUUGUAUCUUAAAUGCAAUUUCAUGUAUCAAAACUGAAGUAAAUUUAUAUGAAGGAAAUUUCCAUAAUGUGUGGUUAAGAGUUACUGGUAUUUUAACACUCAGAUCUGAUUUCCAUGCCACUUUAGAGUCUGGAGCAACUGUGUAACUUUUUCUCAUAAUCAUUGUUACAUGGUGCAUGUA